rnacentral:rRNA from 1 species
CCAGACUCCUACGGGAGGCAGCAGUGGGGGAUAUUGCACAAUGGGGGAAACCCUGAUGCAGCGACGCCGCGUGAGUGAAGAAGUAUUUCGGUAUGUAAAGCUCUAUCAGCAGGGAAGAAAAAAGACGGUACCUGACUAAGAAGCCCCGGCUAACUACGUGCCAGCAGCCGCGGUAAUACGUAGGGGGCAAGCGUUAUCCGGAUUUACUGGGUGUAAAGGGAGCGUAGACGGCAAUACAAGUCGGAAGUGAAAUACCCGGGCUCAACCUGGGAACUGCUUUGGAAACUGUGCAGCUAGAGUGCAGGAGAGGUAAGUGGAAUUCCUAGUGUAGCGGUGAAAUGCGUAGAUAUUAGGAGGAACACCAGUGGCGAAGGCGGCUUACUGGACUGUAACUGACGUUGAGGCUCGAAAGCGUGGGGAGCAAACAGGAUUAGAUACCCCCGUAGA